GUGGGGAAUCUUAGACAAUGGGCGCAAGCCUGAUCUAGCCAUGCCGCGUGAGCGAUGAAGGCCUUAGGGUUGUAAAGCUCUUUCGUGGGGGAAGAUAAUGACUGUACCCCAAGUAGAAGCCCCGGCUAACUCCGUGCCAGCAGCCGCGGUAAUACGGAGGGGGCUAGCGUUGUUCGGAAUUACUGGGCGUAAAGCGCACGUAGUCGGACUGGAAAGUCAGGGGUGAAAUCCCGGGGCUCAACCCCGGAACUGCCUUUGAGACUCCCAGUCUUGAGUUCGAGAGAGGUGAGUGGAAUUCCGAGUGUAGAGGUGACAUGCGUAGAUAUUCGGAGGAACACCAGUGGCGAAGGCGGCUCACUGGCUCGAUACUGACGCUGAGGUGCGAAAGCGUGGGGAGCAAACAGGAUUAGAUACCCCUGUAGUCC
rnacentral:rRNA from 1 species